UACGGAGGGGGCUAGCGUUGUUCGGAAUUACUGGGCGUAAAGCGCGCGUAGGCGGACCUGCAAGUCGGGGGUGAAAGCCCGAGGCUCAACCUCGGAACUGCCUUCGAUACUGCGGGUCUCGAGUCCGGGAGAGGUGAGUGGGAUUCCUAGUGUAGAGGUGAAAUUCGUAGAUAUUAGGAAGAACACCAGUGGCGAAGGCGGCUCACUGGCCCGAUACUGACGCUGAGGCGCGGAAGCGUGGGGAGCAAACAGG
rnacentral:rRNA from 1 species